AGUUUGGCUGGGUAAUGGAAGAAUUUCUACAUACAUUCAUUACUUCUGAUCAGGCAAGACCAGUCUGACACAGGAACAGUCUAUGGCUCACUCUUAAAGCCACAGCAGGCUGCCAGGGCUUGGAGAAAUAGAAACCUCUCUUGCACAAGAAUAGUCUCAAUGAAUCAUGUUAAGGCCUCUUUAGGUUUUUCAGACUCCAUGCACCCUGUGGAAACUGCCUUUCUUGAGUAGAGGUACGUUCAGCACUUCAUAAAAUAAUCUUGGAGCCUCCAGACACACGGAUGGAGGAGCAUGAUUUCAUUUGUUUCUUUGCAAAACUGCUGUCCCCAACUGAAAAACCUGAUUAUCCUUUCAAAUAGGGAAUUCGGCUUUCCACGUUGGAACCAGAACAGUUAACCUUCAAACCCCCAAGGCUUGCAAGAGAUGAAUCAGUUUCUCAGACAGCCAAAGCCGUGGCUUAUAACUCAUCCAACCCAGAAAACUGGACCGCUGGUCACCUUCCUUCCCCCUGCCCCCAACUCUGCAGACAGAGGUUUCCCGUUGAUUAUGCCUUGAUUAGAGUCAGGAGAGAAGCAAACCAGGUAUAUAGGAUUCCAUUAUCCUUCCCUCCUCUGCUCCCAACCAGGGUCACGCUGAGAGGGAUCUCGGUGAACAUGUGAACAAUCAAGCCAUGUUUACCAUGGACGUUUAGUUUUCUUUUCUCAAAAUCAAAACAGAGUUUAGUAGGCAGCGUAUUUCAUACAUGCCCCUUGAUCAAUGGAAUGAUCUGUCAGAAGCCAUUAAAGCCCCCAUUAGCUUGAAUGCAUUCAAAGCUAAACUAUUGGAUCAUUUAAGGGCUGCAGUGAUUGUUUU
rnacentral:lncRNA from 1 species